rnacentral:rRNA from 1 species
CGACGCAGCAACGCCGCGUGUGUGAUGAGGGUCUUUGGAUUGUAAAGCACUUUCGACCGGGACGAAAACCUGUUGGCUAACAUCCAGCAGCUUGACGGUACCGGGAGAAGAAGCACCGGCUAACUCUGUGCCAGCAGCCGCGGUAAUACAGAGGGUGCAAGCGUUGUUCGGAAUUAUUGGGCGUAAAGCGCGUGUAGGCGGCUUUGCAAGUCGGAUGUGAAAGCCCUCGGCUCAACCGAGGAAGUGCGUUCGAAACUGCAGAGCUUGAGUACCGGAGAGGGUGGCGGAAUUCCCCAAGUAGAGGUGAAAUUCGUAGAUAUGGGGAGGAACACCGGUGGCGAAGGCGGCCACCUGGACGGUCACUGACGCUGAGACGCGAAAGCGUGGGUAGCAAACAGGAUUAGAUACCCUGGUAGUCCACGCCGUAAACGAUGAGAACUAGGUGCCGUGGGUGUUGACCCCCGCGGUGCCGUAGCUAACGCAUUAAGUUCUCCGCCUGGGAAGUACGGUCGCAAGACUA